AGUCGUAACAAGGUUUCCGUAGGUGAACCUGCGGAAGGAUCAUUACAACGUAUCCACGUACCAAACUCUCGAACUGUUCCCAACGGAGCAAAGCACACACUUGUGUGAGAAGUUAAUGGCCGACUGUCUUUUCGCUGAUGGAGUCCACAGACUUUUGUCUGAGGACUGAAAGGCUAUCGGUUGCUGGAGCUUCGGCUCUGGGACUUUGUUUGCUUCGUUGCGGUUUCUACCGUCAGCACUUGUUUUACCAUUAUUAACCCUUUGAAUUAUUGAACUGAACUUGAAAGCCUCGCAACCGUCCUUGUUGGCUUCGGUCACGGACAGUGUAGCUUGGUUUUUCUCAUUUACGAAACAAAGAACAACUCUUAGCAACGGAUAUCUUGGUUCUC
rnacentral:misc_RNA from 1 species